GUCGAGCUUGGUAACUCUUGCUUGUGACCCAAGUGGGGACAACAAGGUGAUGGAACAUGGCUAUGGUUUGUCUAGGUCGGGUUGGUGAUUGCAUCAUGCUGGCUUGCCCAUUCCAAGUUGAGAGUUGAGUCAUGGUGAUUGGGUGAAGGCCCAGAUGUCAUGACUUCUAGACAAGAGGGCAAAGCGUGAGGCUGGCUUCACAGAGCAGCGAACACCUCUGGCUCCUAACAGUGGAAGGAUCACAGGUUGCUGCAAUACCAUCCCACAAUGCCUAGUGAGCCAAGCUACUUGGACUAUCAUUUUUU